UACGAAGGGGGCUAGCGUUGCUCGGAAUCAUUGGGCGUAAAGGGUGCGUAGGCGGCGCGGUAAGUCGGGUGUGAAAUCUCGGAGCUUAACUCCGAAACUGCAUUCGAUACUGCCGUGCUUGAGGACUGGAGGGGAGACUGGAAUUUACGGUGUAGCGGUGAAAUGCGUAGAUAUCGUAAGGAAGACCAGUGGCGAAGGCGGGUCUCUGGACAGUUCCUGACGCUGAGGCACGAAGGUCAGGGGAGCAAACGGG
rnacentral:rRNA from 1 species